rnacentral:ncRNA from 1 species
GGCGAUGUCUUCUUGCCAAUAUCAAUGAAGGCACUCGGUCAUACUGUGGGUUGCGUGGAAAACCUUAGAUGCUAGUCGUCGAAAGUGUGAUGUGAGGGGGGGUUAGAUGCCC